AAUAGAUACCCAGGUAGUCCACGCCGUAAACGUUGGGCGCUAGAUGUGGGGACCAUUCCACGGUUUCCGUGUCGCAGCUAACGCAUUAAGCGCCCCGCCUGGGGAGUACGGCCGCAAGGCUAAAACUCAAAGGAAUUGACGGGGGCCCGCACAAGCGGCGGAGCAUGCGGAUUAAUUCGAUGCAACGCGAAGAACCUUACCAAGGCUUGACAUAUACGAGAACGCUCUAGAAAUAGAGAACUCUUUGGACACUCGUAUACAGGUGGUGCAUGGUUGUCGUCAGCUCGUGUCGUGAGAUGUUGGGUUAAGUCCCGCAACGAGCGCAACCCUCGUUCUAUGUUGCCAGCGGUUCGGCCGGGAACUCAUAGGAGACUGCCGGGGUCAACUCGGAGGAAGGUGGGGAUGACGUCAAAUCAUCAUGCCCCUUAUGUCUUGGGCUUCACGCAUGCUACAAUGGCCGGUACAAAGGGCUGCAAUACCGUAAGGUGGAGCGAAUCCCAAAAAGCCGGUCUCAGUUCGGAUUGAGGU
rnacentral:rRNA from 1 species